GUGCACAACUGCCAUUUUGAUAA
rnacentral:siRNA from 1 species